GAGGGGCCGGGCCGGGGCACGGGGAUCAAACGAUCAAACUCCGUCAGCCCCGCUCUGCCCGGGGCUGGUCCCGUGAGGGGCCGGGCCGGGGCACGGGAAUCAAACUCCGCCGGCCCUGCGCUCUGCCCUUGGCCUCGCUGAAGGCCGGGCCGCAGCGGUCCGGGUCUCCGGGUUCGGCUGCAGGCCCGAGGGCCCGGCGGGCCGCACUCGGUGCCGCGGGUGUUGUGGCCUGCCCGGGGAGCCCCGCGCUCCCGCCCUGAGGCAGGGCGCUCGGCAGAGCUCAGCGCUGCCCGCUGACCCCUCAGCUUCUCUGCAGCCGAGCCGCAAACAGCGACCCUUGGCGCUGCUCACCUGCAAUUCUGCUGCAGAUGCUUUGUAGAUGAUGGGCUGGCUUUAUGUACAGGAGGUCUCCUCCAGAAAUGGCAGAUAAAUACUUGCCUCACACGUGUUCGGACGGUGCCUCCCGUCACUGGAGAAGCUGGGAGCUUGCGUGAUGUUGCCACCUUGGGAGAGAAGAAUCCAUCACACCUUCUGUACCAAGCUGAAGUAAAUUUAGGAAGGCAGCCCUGACCUUUCAUGCCUUGUCCUAAAAAAUGCUCUGUGCCAUCCCAAAUCCUUGAUGUUGAUGUUACAGCCAGAACCUCAGGGUAGAAGUGACGUUUUCACCCUGCCUGGAAUAAAGCAAGAGCAGUGCGUGUGUCAGUGCUGAGCUCUACCCGCCCUGGCGUGACUGCAGAUCCUGUCCUGUGCCACCCCAUCAUCCCGAGCCGACAGCCUCCGGCCCAUUUGCAUCUGAAAGGCGGCUUGAAAUGACCGCAAAGGAGACGCAGUCAAUGGCUUAUUGCUGGUGCCGGUGUGUGCUAAUUAUACCCUGGGUAAUCACCCUACAGAACAUGUGAACAGCUCUCAAACUGCCCGGGCUAUUUUUACUAAAGCUCGGCUAUAUUUACCGCGCAUUCGGCUGGUGGCACUCGAGCAUCCCCUUUCUGGAGUAUUUAUAGCUGAGAGCAGCGCUGAAGGUAAUGGGCCGGGACAGGCGCUCCGAGGGGGGCUAAUCCCAGCCUGGCCCCAUCCCCGCGCCCCUGCUCCUGCCCUCCGGCCAGGUGACCACGGCAGAGUGAUGCCGCAGCUUUUGCUUCCCUGUCCGGUUUGGAACAGUCCCACACUCACUGGGAUUCCAGGGGGAAGGAAAGGGCCCGGUAAGAAACAGCAGGGGAGAUAAAAACCUGUCCAGUAGCUCCAAGAUCACCGAGAUGAGAUACACAUUGCAAGGCCUAACUUUGCCUACAGGGAAUUCCCUCGGUACUGCUUGAUCAGCCAGGAUUUGGCAAAUAAUGUAAACUUUGCUGGAAUUUCACAUUUAUUUCAGAAACAAUUUCAGAAACUACAUCUUGCCUAGGGCAAUAUACUUUCAGGAAUGGAAUUUUUUUUUUUAUUGUGAACUUCCUUGAAUAAUUAUUUCUGGAAAAAUCUUUCAAAAUAAUCUUGUGAUUGUCUAAUUGGAACAAUGACACUCGCAAAUGGGGAAGCAGCAGUAUUGUGCAGACUGAGACUCUGCCAGCACUGCUGAACACUUCGUAUGUAGGUGGAGGUUCACUGGUGCUGGCUCUAAUCUGAGCCCCAAACUCUCUAUCAGAUUGUUCAAAAUCACCACUCUUGCAGGGAGAAUAGCCAAUGUCCUCAUUUCUUCUGUCCAGCCUGGCACAGCUGGUUACUGCUGCAUCACAAACGGAGUUUCUUCCCAUGUGUCUGGUUCUGCAUUUUAAAUAAAUGACAAUGCAUUUGCAUUAUUUUUAUUUAUUUGAACACUAUGAUUUAAGAGCCUAAAUGCAAGUUUUUCCCUUUAUUUCUGCAAGUAGCACUGCAAUCAUAACUUACAAAAAUGUUUAAAAUACAAAAUGUACAUGAAAUUACAAUACAAGGCUCUGUAAACAUCUAGAACUUAAUCUUUAUUGUCCCACAUUUUUAAAUAUAAAACUUCAAUUUGAAUGAUUUCCGAACCUCAAGGAAUGACAUCCAUUAUGAGUAUCAAAAAUAGAGUUUCAAAGCUUUGUAUCAGAACAAAACUGCUUUUUCAUUCUUUGGUUUAAAAAGGGUGGCAGUUCCCCUGAUAACAGGUAAGUUUCACCACAGAAAUUCAGAUUGCUAGUUGAUGGUAAUUUCAGAACUCACCCCUGUCCCCCUGGAUUAAUAUGCUACCCCUUUGUUUUUUUUCCCCUAAACAUUGAUCUUUGACCUCAUCAUUAAGGCUUUCCUUCAGGAUAAUCUAAGUUAUUAAAAAUUUUUGGAAAAGUACUCAGGGAGAAGACAGGACUUAAGGACAAGGAAGUGGAUGCCAACAAAAUAUUAACAGUUGCCGGGUUUUGUUGUUUAAUUCAAUUUGCAUAGUCCAAUAGAGAUCGUGUGCUUUUUAUACCACUAAAAUUAUACAAGAUUAACAGUCUUUAUCUACGUUAUCACACAAGCUAAAACAAAAUUAAGACCCUUGUAUUGAAGCUUUUACAAGGCAAAUACAAAACUGCUUUAGUAUCCAAAGCUAUAUUUUUUUAAAAUUUCAUUUUUAAAUAGGAAAGCAUUUCUAUGUCUACAGGCAUCAAGGUAUUUAAAGGCAUCAGAAAAUUUAGUGCAUAGCAACUCCGGAUUGUUUGGGCUCCUAUAUUUUAGGUACAGUGUGAAUUCCAGCUACGUGGAGAACUUGCAAGGAGAGUCUGUACCAGCAGGAUAAAGGAGCAUAAAUCCCAUACAGUAUGAAAAGCUUUUCACUCAGAAUUCUCCUACAAACAAUGGUUAAUGCAAAAGACCCAAUACGUGAAUGAAAACUGGAACAUGCCUUGCCACCAACACACACUCUGAGACAAUUACAUAGUUUACAGCAUUGUGUGGUUUGGUUUGUUUUGAAGGUGUUAAAAACAUAAGUAGAUGUAAUUCUGAGCAUGUGAGUUCUUUGUAGGAUCUUCAAUGUACACGAGUAGAGGACAGAGUAAAGCACCAUUGCUGAGGGACAAUUACAAUAUCACACUUUUCAGAUUCCAGCCCUGCCAAUUAUUUCCUGCAAAUGUCAAGAUUGACACCACUGAACAGUACAUUCAGAAAAAGGAUGCUUAAGAUUCCCAGCAGGUACAUAGUGGCCUUGCAGUAAAUUGUUUGAAAUAAUUAUGAAACAUCAAGUUAGUAGCCUCAGGCUGCACUCUUAAAGGAAGGACAUGAUAAAACUACAGUUUUACCUACGUAAUAUAUGGUCUUUAAAAGUUCAUUAUUCAGCUAUUACAGAGAUGUGAUUACAGCUACUGUAAUGGUAUUGCUUGGGCACUGACUUCCCCCAGGUGUAAGGUUCUGCCAGCAAAAGGCUCAAUGGAAAGUUUCCCCCACCACUGUUUGCCAAAAUGCAACAUCAGCAGAAACUGUGUUUACUCUCCCAGGUGUUAAAACUCAACACUGCUCUCCACUGUCAGACCCUUUCAUUCACUUGAAGUCUAUGGAGGGCAUGUGCUCCCCAUGUGCUAAACUGCUAAAAUGGCCACACUUGUCUGAACUGGAUCAAUGCAAAUAUACUUUCCAAUUUUCUACUUCUUUAUGUUAAUUCACUCUUAAUUUUGAUUAGAUUGUCAUGGCUCACCCAAAUGAGCAACUAGUAGGAACACCUUGGCUGUUCUGAGUUCCAUGUACUGCUGACCUUCUUUUCCAUGACUGGUAUACCCUUUGUGUUCCAUGGAGGGAAGCUCUGUUAAUGAGUGGUUCCUGGGGGAGGCAAGUGUGUGACCUCCACAGCCAGUGUGGGAUCCUCUCCACAGUGUCUAAUUGGAAAGGCCAGAGAUUUUUAAGUAAUGACAUAGAAUGUUUCAAAUUCAUCAGAUUAUGGAGAUAGGGGAGACACAUCCUCAGAGCACACCAUGGAGUUUACUGCAGCUGUGAUGAAUUUUGAGUAUUUCUUUGGAAACUCCUGCUUUACACCUUUAAAAUUAAACAUGGACACAUCAUACUCCCUAACCACUAAUUCACAGUAAAUUACUUUUUAGCAAACUGACAUUUACAAACAGCCUGAAUUGAAGGAACUGUAACUGUCAUCUCCUUAGGACUUCCAAGUGGCAUGGUCGGCCAUACAGCAUAUAAAAGAUACAGAUGUGAUCAAAUGAUUUAUUGCAUUGAAAACUUAAAUGCCACUGAAUUGGUGAUUUCAAAACCAUAUUCUGCAGGAUUAAUGGGAACAUUCAGAACCUCAGCAAACAUUAAAUUUUCUCCUGUAUCUAACAUA